rnacentral:pre_miRNA from 1 species
ACCUCGGUCAAUCCGGAACUGUUGGCUCGGCACAAAAGCGACCACAAGGCCGGAUUGAUCAAGAGU